rnacentral:lncRNA from 10 species
UCCGAGGCAACGGUGGCUCCUCGAGGUCCACGGUCCCGGAGAUGGGAUUUCGCCAUGUUGCCCAGGCUGAUCUUGAACUCCUGGGCUGAAGAUAUCCACCCUCCUCGGCCUCCCAAUGUGCUGGGAUUACAGGCCUGAGCCACCAUGCCUGGCCCAAGUGUUCAUUGAUGAUGAGAGAUGGGCUUUUCGCAUCAAAUCACAAAAAUAUGCUGAGUAAUGUGAGGAUUCUUGCUUUUCUGGAAGCUAACACAUAGUCAGUGCCAAAGUAGUGACAGAAGAAAUCUUGAGAGGAAGCAUUUUUGUCUUGUACUUGAAACAGCUGCUGGGCCCACCAUGGCUCCUGUGAAGAUCAGCCAUGUGGUAUCAUUUUCUUCUCAGGAUCCCAAGUAUCCUGUAGAGAACUUGCUAAACCCAGAUAGUCCAAGGAGACCUUGGCUCGGCUGCCCUCAGGACAAGAGUGGGCAAUUGAAAGUAGAACUACAGCUGGAGAGGGCAGUGCCCACUGGCUACAUUGAUGUGGGUAACUGUGGCUGUGCGUUCCUGCAAAUUGAUGUGGGCCAUUCUUCCUGGCCCCUGGACA